ACGCAUGGCGGCAUGCCUUACACAUGCAAGUCGAACGGCAGCACGGGGGCAACCCUGGUGGCGAGUGGCGAACGGGUGAGUAACACAUCGGAACGUACCCAGUUGUGGGGGAUAACCCAUCGAAAGGUGGGCUAAUACCGCAUGAUCUGGAGACAGCAAAGCAGGGGACCGGAAACGGCCUUGCGCGAUUGGAGCGGCCGAUGUCCGAUUAGCUAGUUGGUGGGGUAAAGGCCUACCAAGGCGACGAUCGGUAGCUGGUCUGAGAGGAUGAUCAGCCACACUGGGACUGAGACACGGCCCAGACUCCUACGGGAGGCAGCAGUGGGGAAUUUUGGACAAUGGGGGCAACCCUGAUCCAGCCAUGCCGCGUGAGUGAAGAAGGCCUUCGGGUUGUAAAGCUCUUUCGGUAGGAACGAAACGGUUACGACUAAUACUCGUGACUAAUGACGGUACUUACAGAAGAAGCACCGGCUAACUACGUGCCAGCCAGCCGCGGUAAUACGUAGGGUGCGAGCGUUAAUCGGAAAUUACUGGGCGUAAAGCGUGCGCAGGCGGUUAUU
rnacentral:rRNA from 1 species